rnacentral:rRNA from 1 species
CUGAAGAAAAAGCAUCGGCUAACUCCGUGCCAGCAGCCGCGGUAAUACGGAGGAUGCAAGCGUUAUCCGGGAUCAUUGGGCGUAAAGGGUCCGCAGGUGGCGAAUAAAGUCUGCUGUUAAAGACCGGGGCUUAACUCCGGAAAGGCAGUGGAAACUGAUUAGCUAGAGUACGGUAGGGGUAGAGGGAAUUCCCAGUGUAGCGGUGAAAUGCGUAGAUAUUGGGAAGAACACCGGUGGCGAAAGCGCUCUACUAGGCCGAAACUGACACUGAGGGACGAAAGCUAGGGUAGCGAAAGGGAUUAGAUACCCCUGUAGUCUUAGCGGUAAACGAUGGAUACUAGGUGUAGCUUGUAUCAACCCGAGCUGUGCCGAAGCUAACGCGAUAAGUAUCCCGCCUGGGGAGUACGCACGCAAGUGUGAAACUCAAAGGAAUUGACGGGGGCCCGCACAAGCGGUGGAGUAUGUGGUUUAAUUCGAUGCAACGCGAAGAACCUUACCAGGGCUUGACAUGUCGCGAAUCUAGCGGAAACGUUAGAGUGUCUUAGGGAAUGCGAACACAGGUGGUGCAUGGCUGUCGUCAGCUCGUGUCGUGAGAUGUUGGGUUAAGUCCCGCAACGAGCGCAACCCUCGUCCUUAGUUGCCAAUAUUAAGUUAGGCACUCUAGGGAGACUGUCGGGGACAACUCGGAGGAAGGUGGGGAUGACGUCAAGUCAGCAUGCCCCUUACGUCCUGGGCUACACACGUACUACAAUGGUUGGGACAAAGGGCAGCAAGCUCGCGAGAGUAAGCGAAUCUCAUCAAACCCAGCCACAGUUCAGAUUGCAGGCUGCAACUCGCCUGCAUGAAGUAGGAAUCGCUAGUAAUCGCAGGUCAGCAUACUGCGGUGAAUUCGUUCCCGGGCCUUGUACACACCGCCCGUCACACCAUGGAAGCUGGCUACGCCCGAAGUCGUUACCCUAACCCGGUUUUGGGAGGGGGAUGCCGAAGGUAGAGCUAGUGACUGGGGUGAAGUCGUAACAAGGUAGCCGUACCGGAAGGUGUGGCUGGAUCACCUCCUUU